AAAUUGAAGAGUUUGAUCAUGGCUCAGAUUGAACGCUGGCGGCAGGCCUAACACAUGCAAGUCGAACGGUAGCACAGAGAGCUUGCUCUCGGGUGACGAGUGGCGGACGGGUGAGUAAUGUCUGGGAAACUGCCUGAUGGAGGGGGAUAACUACUGGAAACGGUGGCUAAUACCGCAUAACGUCGCAAGACCAAAGAGGGGGACCUUCGGGCCUCUUGCCAUCAGAUGUGCCCAGAUGGGAUUAGCUAGUUGGUGAGGUAACGGCUCACCAAGGCGACGAUCCCUAGCUGGUCUGAGAGGAUGACCAGCCACACUGGAACUGAGACACGGUCCAGACUCCUACGGGAGGCAGCAGUGGGGAAUAUUGCACAAUGGGCGCAAGCCUGAUGCA
rnacentral:rRNA from 1 species